UUUCCGUAGGUGAACCUGCGGAUGGAUCAUUACUGAGUGAGGGCCCUCUGGGUCCAACCUCCCACCCGUGUGUAUUGUCCUUUGUCGCUUCGGUGAGCCCGCCUCACGGCCGCCGGGGGGCAUCUGUCCCCGGGCCCGCGCGCGCCGAAAACACCCUUGAUCACUGUCUGAUGUUUGCAGGCUGGGCGAAAACUAAAUAAGUUAAAACUUUCAACAACGGAUCUCUUGGUUCCG
rnacentral:misc_RNA from 1 species